rnacentral:lncRNA from 1 species
GAGGUCACUCUCAGUUGGUCCUCCAAAGCUUAUCAUAUUGGACACAAGUCACUCUGCGUGGGAUGGCACUGGUCAGGGAUUAGAGGAACCAGCCUCAAUGUCUGGACUCACCAACAUCCUGUCAAGAUAUUUAAAAAUGAAUCUCAAAGGACUUGGAGCCUUCACAUAACAACUACAACAGCAACAACAACAAUGAUUACAAAAGGAUGAUCUCCAUCUCUUAGUGGUAAGACUGUAAGAUUUUUAUUUUUUUCUUUGUUUCUGUUGUAUUUC